AACACGCUCCUUAGAUCCACCUCUGGGGAGUUUCUCCGUCUCCGGUUCUGUUGUGUUCUCUCUCUGGGAGCAGCAGGAUCGGGCCGGAGGCUCCCAGCAGCUUUACGGCUGUACAGUUGGAGGUGCUUGAGUCAUUGGCGUGUGAGAUCAGUCUACCUGCUCACCCAGAAUCCUCUCUGCCCUGAUCCUUCACAGGAAAACGCCGGGGCAGAACAGCUGGAGAGCAGACAAA
rnacentral:snoRNA from 1 species